GCCAUAACAAGGUUCUGCAGACCUGGGGGCUUAACAGAAACCAGCUUUCUCCCAAUUCUGGAGGCCGGAAGGCUAAGAUCAAGGCAUCCUGUGCCCUCUUCAAAGAGGUCAUCGUGGGAGGAAAUAUAUUUAUUGGAGUGAACCCGUUCUUGCUCAAAAUUUCUCGAUUGUCUACUUUGACACCUCCUCACAGUCUGGUUAAGCUGCACACAAAACCCAGAAAUUUCAUUUACAGGGACACGUGGGUGGCUCAAUCGGUUAAGCACCUGGCUUCAGUUCUGGUCGUUAUCCCAGGGUCCUGGGUUUGAGCUCCAUAUGGGGCUCCCUCCCGGCUCAGCUGAGAUCCUGCUUCUUCCUCUCCCCCUCCCCCUCCCCGUGAUUUUCUUUCUCUCUCACAUGCUCUCUCUCUCAAAUAAUUAAAUCUUAAAAAAUAAAAUUCAAUUUAUACUACUCUGUUCGG